CCAAAAUCUUGCUCAGAAAAAAAACCAUCCCGAAAUCCACCACACAGGACGACGGCGAUGGCGGCAGGCGGCGGCGGCUACGCAGGGACGGCGAUGGCGGGUUGACGCGCCCCCUUCUCCCGGCGCCCCUCCUUCUCCGGCGACACCCUUCUCCCCGGGACGCCCCUUCUCCGGCGCCCUCUCUCCCAGACAACUUCGACAAGGAAGGCAAGGACCGCACAGCUCAUGGCCAAGGGCGGCGUCUUCGUCCUCCGGCAGACGCACCGGCCGCCACUCCCGGCUCGGCCUCCACAUCCUCCAUGCCCACCAUGAGCUAGCAGGCUCAAUCGCCAGGCAAGCUCUCUGUCGGACUCGGAUCUCACUUUGUUUUGAACCUGCUUGAUCCUUUCAUUGCUCCCUGUACUGAUCAUAAAACCGAUGUGUUGCAGGAAGAUGGAAUGCUGCUUCAUCGGUAUCUGGAAGAGACAGCCCACCCUGCCCACAGGAUGUCAGCUCCCAUGGCAGCAAAGGAGCAAGAUAUCUGGAUCCAGUCCUUCCAGAGGACAUAUGGUGUCGUAUAUAUUCCUUACUACAGAUGCAAGAUGCUGCACCGGCCGCCUGUGUUUCUCGCUCCUCCCUAGGCUACUGGAGAUGCCAUCCCAAUCUCACCUUCACCAAUGAAACGAUGUGCCCGAAAGAAAAUUUGAAUACACCAGGAUCAGACGCUAUUAUAAGAGACUACAACAACAAUAUCGACCGUGUUCUGACAAACCGCUCGGGCGCUGCCUCCGUGACGAAACUCAGGCUUGACUACCAUGUUCCUCGUGAUGGCACUGAAUCGUAUCAUCAUCUUGAUAGCUGGCUUCAGAUGGCUGUUACACCGAGAACCGAAGAACUCGAGCUUCUAGUAUGGUCGAAAGAGGCGAGCUUUGAUUUCACAGGUGUGGGGGCUCGAUUCAGAAGCUUCUCCUUUUCAGGUGCGCCUUGCGUCCCACAUUUCAACUUGGUUUGACAAGCCUGAAAACACCGCAUCUGCGCGAUGUGCGUGUUACCGGGGAGGAGUUAGGGUGCCUUCUGUCCAGUUCCACUGCUUUGGAACACCUGAAGCUUGUAUACUGCGAUGAUAUUGUUCGCCUCGAGAUACCUUGCCUGCUACUGCGGCUCAGCUUUCUAGAGGUGGCUGGAUGCAUGAAUCUUCAAGUGAUAGAGAAUGAAGCUCCAAAUCUCUCCAGAUUUUACCUUGAAGCAGGUGAACUGGUGCAAGUCUAGUUUGGAGAGUCGAAAGUGAAGAAAGUGCAGUUAAUGCAGAGUUGUGCCAUCAGUUAUGCUAUUGACAACCUUCCUUCCCGUGCGCAGAAUCUUGAGACUCUUACCAUAUAUUCUACUUGUGAGAGAGUCAAUGCACCAAUGGCAUCCAUCAAAUUCCUCCACCUCAAGUUCUUGAGUAUUCUUCUUGUUAGUGGAUCUAAUUUUGACCGGGACUAUGAUUAUUUAUCAUUGCUUCCUUUUUUUGAUGCUUCUCCUUCCCUGGAGACGUUUCGCUUGUUUGUAGCGGAGCAAUCCAUGUCUGACUGGUUUGAGGGAGAUCGCUCGUCUCUGAGGAGAAUGCCACAACACUGCCAUGGGAACCCCAAGAGUGUGAAGAUCGUCGGUUUCUUUCCCCAAAAGAGCAUGGUUGAGCUAACAUGUCAUAUUCUUGAGAAUGCAACGUCACUUGAGUCCCUUACAGUGGAUGCUAGUCCUGCUAAUUACCGGUGUUCUGGCAGGGGCAGGAAAUGCUGUCCCCUGGAAGCUACAGCUAUAGUGAAGGCACGUAAACCAGUCUUGGCUGUGAAAAAAUACAUCGAGGGGAAUGUUUCCUCUACAGUCAAGUUAAAUGUUCGGGAGCCUUGCAGACGAUGCCAUCGUUUGGUAAAAUCAGGUGUCAAGCCAUUCUAUCUGAUGUUUAAUGAUUAGAUGUUUUAGUUGCCAUGUUACUUUCAAGAGCUGUCCAACGUUUAGGGGUCUGUGAUAUUACAUUCUUGUAAACUUUGUUUACCAGACUGUCCA
rnacentral:rRNA from 1 species